UAUCUUUCAAAUAUCAUUGAAAUAUCUGGUUCAACAAGAAGACAACGUCAUCAAUAUCCCCCUCAAUGGCAAAAUACUCUUCAUGAUUAUGUCUACGAGUUAUGAUUAUGUCAAAUAAUUAGGUGUGUAUAUAGAAAAGUGG